GGUCCCACCCACUGCGCCCAGAACGGAGCCCGCGUUUCCGCAGAGCUGGAGCUCCCGGCUCGGGGUCUCUUCCCUCCGCCUUCACGGAACUGCCCCGGAGCCCGCGGCGAGGGCGGCCUCACUGACGCUGCCAGCCCUGGAGGGGCCCCGGAGGCCGAAGCCGCGACAGUCGUGCGGACGGCGGGCCGGUUGUUUCAACAAGUAACUUAAAGACCAAAUGGAAAAAAAGGAGGUUUGUGCCUGAGAUCAUGUUGAUGUGAAACCAGGGAUGGCCACCUUGUCCCAGGUACAAAACAAAGAAUCGCUUUGCACAAAGCCAGAAGGGAUACACUGAAAGAAUGAUCAGAAAAGAAUAAUACAUAGAGCGGACCCCAACAAGGGUCCCCCUGCCCAGUGUCGUUGGAGCCAAAAGAACGAGACUGAGUUUGGUUCAGAAGCAAAGGAAACUUUAUAUUUUGAUCAGAGAAUGGAGAGGUGACAGCAUGCGCUCCCCCGCGGGCUGUGGGCUGGGCUGCUGUGUAGGGAUCCCGGCAGCGGGAGGGAGGGGGCGGAG